rnacentral:tRNA from 1 species
CGGAGAUUAGCUCAGUGGUAGAGCGCUCGGUUCGGGACCGAGAGGUCCGCGGUUCAAAUCCGCGAUCUCCGA